AAUAAAAUCUUUAAAAAAAAUGAGGUCAUUAGGAUGGACCCUAAUCCAUUGUCACUUCUGUCCUUACUAGAAGAGAUCAGGACCCAGACACAGAGACACCACGUGGAGAGACACAGGGAGAAAGUGGCCAAAGAGAGCCGAGGAGAGCCGAGGAGAGCAGCAUCAGAAGAAACCAACGCCAGCCGCACCUUGAUCUCAGACUUGCAGCCUCCAGAACAUACCUUAAAACAAAAUCAGCAACCCAGCAUAACUAAGAGUUGGGCCGGCAUUGGAAGUUCUGCCAUGAAGUGGACACAGAGAGCCCCAGAAGUCUGGAAUAGGUAGAAAUUCCCAAAACCCGUGGAAAGGACGGCUCUCAUCUCACUAUAAUUUUUGAUAAUUAUAGCUAACAGCAG